rnacentral:rRNA from 1 species
AAUGAACGUUGGCGGCGUGGAUUAGGCAUGCAAGUCGAACGAGAACCUCGCAAGAGGGGAAAGUGGCAAACGGCGUAGUAAGGCGUAGGUGACGUACCCCGAGGUCUAGGAUAGCCAUGGGAAACCGUGGGUAAUACUGGAUGAUCUCCCUGGAUUUAGAUGUCUGGGGAGCAAAGGUGUGAUUCCACCUUGGGAGCGGCCUGCGUGGUAUUAGCUUGUUGGUGAGGUAACGGCUCACCAAGGCGACGAUGCCUAGGGGGUGUUAGCGCAUGACCCCCCACGACUGGGACUGAGAUACUGCCCAGACACCUACGGGAGGCUG